AUACUUCCCUGACAGGGGAGAUACCAUGAUCACAAAGGUGGUUUUCCCAGGACAAGGCUUAUCCAUUGCACUCUGGAUGUGCUGACCCAUGGGAUUUCCCCAAAUGUGGGAAACUCGACUGCAUAAUUUGUGGUAGUGGGGGACUGUGUUUGCGCUUUCUCCGG
ensembl:snRNA U1 U1 spliceosomal RNA